rnacentral:rRNA from 1 species
GUGCUGACGAGUGGCGGACGGGUGAGUAAUGCAUAGGAAUCUGCCUUGUGGCGGGGGACAACCUGGUGAAAACCAGGCUAAUACCGCAUACGCCCUACGGGGGAAAGCGGGGGACCUUCGGGCCUCGCACCAUAAGAUGAGCCUAUGUCGGAUUAGCUUGUUGGUGAGGUAAUGGCUCACCAAGGCGACGAUCCGUAGCUGGUCUGAGAGGAUGAUCAGCCACACUGGAACUGAGACACGGUCCAGACUCC